rnacentral:rRNA from 1 species
GACGUAGGGCGCGAGCGUUUGUCCGGAUUUAUUGGGCGUAAAGAGCUCGUAGGCGGCUUGUUACGUCGACUGUGAAAUCCCGCGGCUCAACUGCGGGCUUGCAGCCGAUACGGGCAGGCUAGAGUUCGGUAGGGGAGACUGGAAUUCCUGGUGUAGCGGUGAAAUGCGCAGAUAUCAGGAGGAACACUGGUGGCGAAGGCGGGUCUCUGGGCAACAACUGA